CCUACGGGCGGCAGCAGUGGGGAAUAUUGCACAAUGGGGGAAACCCUGAUGCAGCGACGCCGCGUGAGUGAAGACGUAUCUCGGUAUGUAAAGCUCCUUCAGCAGGGAAGAAAAUGACGGUACCUGAUUCAGAAGCCCCGGCUAACUACGUGCCAGCAGACGCGGUAAUACGUAGGAGGCGAGCGUUAUCCGGAGUUACUGGGUGUAAAGGGAGCGUAGACGGCUGCACAAGUCAGGAGUGAAAUGCCGGGGCUUAACCCCGGAACUGCUUUGGAAACUGUGCAGCUAGAGUACAGGAGAGGUAGGUGGAAUUCCUAGUGUAGCGGUGAAAUGCUUAGAUAUUAGGAAGAACACCGAUUGCGAAGGCAGCUUACUGAACUGUAACUGACGUUGAGGCUCGAAAGCGUGGGGAGCAAACAGGAUUAGAUACCCUUGUAGUC
rnacentral:rRNA from 1 species